rnacentral:rRNA from 1 species
GACGUAGGGUGCGAGCGUUGUCCGGAAUCAUUGGGCGUAAAGGGCGCGUAGGUGGCCCGGUCAGUCUUUGGUGAAAGCGCGGGGCUCAACCCUGCGUCGGCCAGGGAUACUGCCGCGGCUGGAGCACUGUAGAGGCAGGCGGAAUUCCGGGUGUAGCGGUGGAAUGCGUAGAGAUCCGGAAGAACACCGGUGGCGAAGGCGGCCUGCUGGGCAGUUUUGCUGACACUGAGGCGCGAAAGCGUGGGUAGCAAACAGG